CGUCACCGCUCGGGAAAGCUCGGCGCCGCUCGGCUCCUCGCCCCCCCCCGCCCCCGGGACCCCCCUCAGGCGCGCCCGGGGGGGCGGCGGGGCGCGCUCGGCCACCCCCGGCCCCGCGCAUGGAGCACAGCGACGGCGCCCCGGCCGCCCGACAGCUCGCCUUGCCCGCGGGACCCGGGCAGCAGCAGAAGCCACCGCAGGCAGCGAAGAGGGAGGCGGAGCCCGAAGAGGAGGCGGUAACGGUGAUGGAGGCAGGCGCCGGGCACAUCGAGAUGGGAGCGCCGCCAAUGCCAAGCGCCGACGAGGCCGCCGCCGCUGCUGCCUUCGCAGAAGUCACCACAGUGACAGUGGCCAACGUGGGGGCCUCUGCAGACAAUGUUUUCACCACAUCUGUGGCCAAUGCAGCUUCAAUUUCAGGACACGUGUUGUCUGGGAGAACAGCCCUCCAAAUUGGGGACAGCUUGAACCCUGAGAAAGCCACUCUGAUAGUGGUGCACACGGACGGCAGCAUCGUCGAAACCACCGGGAUCAAGGGGCCUUCGGCACCUCUCACACCAGGACCACAGUCUCCUCCCACCCCUCUGACGGCCGUGCAGGGGAAGAGUGGAACCAAGUACAACUGGGACCCGUCUGUGUACGAGAACGAGCUCCCGGUGCGGUGCCGGAAUAUCAGUGGCAUCCUGUACAAGAACAGGCUGGGCUCAGGAGGCCGUGGCAGGUGCAUCAAGCAAGGGGACAACUGGUACAGCCCCACGGAGUUCGAAGCCAUGGCAGGGCGAGCCAGCAGCAAGGACUGGAAGAGGAGCAUCCGCUAUGCCGGGCGGCCCCUGCAGUGCCUUAUCCACGAUGGGAUUUUAAAUCCCCAUGCUGCCUCGUGCACUUGUGCCGCGUGCUGUGACGACAUGACACUGAGUGGCCCCAUACGACUCUUUGUGCCAUAUAAAAGGCGGAAAAAAGAAAAUGAAAUACCCGCAACUCCAGUGAAGAAGAAUUGCUCCAAAAACAUCACUCUGCUUCCAGCCACCGCUGCAACUACAUUCACCGUGACUCCCUCUGGACAGAUCACAACCUCCGGGGCGCUGACCUUCGACCGUGCCUCCACCGUGGAGGCCACGGCCAUCAUCUCAGAGAGCCCAGCACAGGGGGAUGUUUUCACUGGAGCCACUGUUCAGGACACCAACGUCCAGCAGCCUUGCCGGGUGUCUCAUCCAGAGCCUCACUAUCCCAGUUACCAGGACAACUGCCAGAUCUCACCUUUCCCUGAGGCUGCACUGCCAACGUCUCAUCCCAAAAUCGUGUUGACCUCUCUGCCUGCGCUGGCGGUGCCCCCCGCGACGCCCACCAAAGCCAUGUCGCCGUCGGUGGUGAACGGGCUGGAGGUGACGGAGCAGCGGAGCUGGCUCUACCUGGAGGAGAUGGUCAAUUCCCUGCUCAGCACGGCACAGCAGCUCAAGACUCUGAUUGAGCAGGCCAAGCAGGCCAGCUCCUCCUUCCGCGAGGCCGCCGUCACACAGGCCAAGAUCCAGGCUGAUGUGGAGAGGAAAGAGGUAACCGUGCCGCAGGGGCUGAGGGGGCUCAGCCAUGGGCACCUUUGGGGCUGAGCCGUGAGCAGAGUAGGUCCUGGCCGCAGCACUGAUACUGCAAAUUGUUUCUCCAAGCCUUGAAAGCAAUGUUAGCAAGAGAAAUCUUCCCGAGUUAUUUGUACCGUGGGGAAAGGAAUAAAGUCUUCCGGGAUUCCAGGAGCUGUGGGCAGCAGGCUGGUUGUGCUGUCUGGUGUCAUGACCCUGAGCUCUCCCAUCAGCUGUCCAUAAAUUUAUGGGAUGUGGGCACUGAGUCCUGGUGUGGUGAGUGUUCAGCAGUGCAGGGGCUGCUGCUGCAGCUGUUGGAGCCUUUCAAUGGGAUAUGUGGAACAGCUUAUCCCAGAGUUUAUGGGGAAGUGUUCUGUCCCAAUGUAAAAAAGGGAGUCGGGGAGGAUUUUUUUGGAUAGACUUCUCAGACAAAAAUAAAGCACAAAUGCGACAAUAUCAUAUCUGAAUAUAAAGAAGGCUAAGUGUCCUGCUGAAGGGGGAUAGAAAAGAGAAACGGAGAAAGAAACGGAAGACAGGGACAGCGUUACCGCAAGAACGCCGGCGCUGUGUCAGCGCCACUCAGCAGGCGGAGCGUGCGAGCUGCGGGCCCCGGCAGCGUUCGGGAGUGCUUGGGCGCAAUCUUCAAACAACGGCGGCGGCGGCGGCUCUGCGACUGCGGGCUCGUCUGGGUGCAGGCGGCGACGACAGGCUGGUGACUGCGGGCAGGUGUGGGGCGGGCAGCGCAGAAACAGCGGCGGCGGUGGCGGCCGGGUGAGGCGGGAAGCGCCGCUGCAGCUGCGCCUGGGAAACGCGGUGGAGGCAGCCGGCGGUGGAGGCAGCCCGCUGCGGCGGGGAGGCAGCGGAGCACAAGGUCGUCGCGGCAAUAAGCUGGUUUGCGGAAACAGUGAAGCAGGGCUAAACAGCAAUACCAGAGCCAGUUAUUCCAGCAACCAGAGGAUGUGGAUGGGAAGACAGAAAUCAUCAUCAAGCAGUCCUGCGUCAACUGCGGACGGGAGGCCACCAACGAGUGCACAGGAUGCCACAAAGUCAACUACUGCUCC